UACGUAGGGUGCAAGCGUUAAUCGGAAUUACUGGGCGUAAAGCGUGCGCAGGCGGUUGUUUAAGUCAGCUGUGAAAUCCCCGGGCUUAACCUGGGAACUGCAGUCGAGACUGUCUAGCUAGAGUAUGGGAGAGGGAAGUGGAAUUUCAGGUGUAGCGGUGAAAUGCGUAGAUAUCUGAAGGAACAUCAGUAGCGAAAGCGACUUCCUGGACCGAUACUGACGCUCAUGUGCGAAAGCGUGGGGAGCAAACAGG
rnacentral:rRNA from 1 species